rnacentral:rRNA from 1 species
AUUGAACGCUGGCGGCAGGCCUAACACAUGCAAGUCGAGCGGCUGAAGGGUGCUUGCUCCUGGAUUCAGCGGCGGACGGGUGAGUAAUGCCUAGGUAUCUGCCUGGUUGUGGGGGCUUACGUCCGGACAUGGGCGCUAAUACCGCAUUAGUCCUGAGGGCGUAAGUGGGGGAUCUUCGGACCUCCCGCUCUCUCAUGAGUCUAGGUCGGAUUAGCUAGUUGGUGGGGUAAAGGCCUACCAAGGCGACGAUCCGUAACUGGUCUGCUAGGAUGAUCAGUCACACUGGAACUGAGACACGGUCCAGACUCCUACGGGAGGCAGCAGGGGGGAAUAUUGGACAAUGGGCGAAAGCCUGAUCCAGGCAAGCCGCGGGGGGGAAGAAGGGCUUCGGAGUGUAAAACACUUUAAGUUGGGAGGAAGGGCAGGAAGUUAAUACCUUGCUGGUUUGACGUGACCAACAGAAAAAGCACCGGCUAACUUCGUU